rnacentral:lncRNA from 1 species
CGUGUACAUUGUGUGUGAAUGUCAAUUAUCCAAAUUACAGAAACUAUGAAUGUAAUGCCAAUUUAUAUAAAGCAAUAAACAAAUAAAUAAUCUAUAAAAAAUAAUAACAAAUAAAUAAUCUAUGCCACAUAAAUAAAAGAAAUCAAGACAAUUAGUAUGAAACAAAUAACAAUGUAUAAAAACAAAAAUAUUUACAUAAAUCUGUUAUGGUUAGAACCUUGUAUCCCUAGUAGAGUCGCCAAACUUUCAUACCUGAUGUUUACCUAAGGUUAAAACAAGGGCGACGUUAUUAACUCAAAAGAAUUUAAUUCUUAUAUAGAGUCGCCAGCUAAUUUUUAAGAAAAAAUAGGAAACCUAUUUAUUUUUAACAAGUAUGACUUUAUUUAGUCUACAAAACCAUUUUAGAUUCUCGAUGAGGGUUCAAAUUAUUCCGAAAAAAAGGGAUUAGGCACCCUUUAGAAUCCACGAAUAUGAUUCCCGAUCAGACCUAGAUUUAUAAAAAAAAUUAAAGAAAAAUUCAAUAUUUUGUAAAUGCAAAUAUACAAUGUGCAUUAUAUAUAAUAAAAUAUAUAUAAAAAUAUAUGGAGAUAAAAUUAAUUAAGAAUAUGUACGAAAAGAAAAGAUUAUAUCAAAAAAAAAAACUAUGCAAUAUGUUUCAAUGUAUAAACAUGAAGUAAUUGAUUAAAUAUCUAAAUUAAUUUAAUUUUUUAAUGUAAAUAUUAACGACCUAAAUUUGCCUAAUGAAGAUUGUAUAAAUAUAAAAUAUCUCGCCCAACACCCCAAAAAAAAAGUUUUUACUAUGAUAAUAUUAGUACAAGUAUAAGAAUAUAAAAAUACAACUCAAAAUAUAAAGUCUUCUUUGAAUGUCAUUCACGAUGAGUUUUUCUAAUAACCUGUAUAAACACUUGUAAUAAAAAUAUUAGUAAAUAAAUACAAAAAGGCACGUGUGUAUAUAUAUAUAUAUAUAUAUAUAUANNNNNNNNNNNNNNNNNNNNNNNNNNNNNNNNNNNNNNNNNNNNNNAUAUAUAUUUUAAAAAUAUAAUUUUUGUUAAAAAGCGGGCUCAGAUAAAAUUCAAAGAAAUUAUAAAGAUUUCAUCAUUACCCGAAUUUAUUCAUUUUUAUUAUGUAUUUGUAUACGUAAUAUCCGUCUUUUUAUUUGUGGAGGCCUCAAAAAUUGAUGGAGAAUUUCUUCAUCGUCCAAAUGCAUUAAUCCGUAUAAACAAGAUAACACGUUAAAGUACAAAAUACAUAAAAACCAAUUCACAAAAGAAAAUACAAAAUGAUUACUAAAAUAUAUAAAGAUCACAUUCAUACCAAGAUAAAAGUCAAUUAAAAAAAAAUUAAUAUCAACUUAAAUGAAACAAUGCCAAAAUAACUUUUUUAAAUACUUAAAAUAACAUCAAAACCACUUAGGACUCUAAAUAUCAAUGUUUGAUAACGAUACAAACCAACAAAACAAAAUGUGAAUAUUAAAAAUAUUAAUAAAUCAAACCCAACAAACAUACACCAUGACAAAAUGUUCACGAAAUAGAGAUGAAUAAGUUCAACGAAAAUAGAUCGAGAAAUCACGAAAAAGCUAGAAACAAUAAUAAUUAACACUCAUUUGAAUAAUAUUAGAAACAAACUAAUCAAUAACAAGAUAACAAAAGUAGUCAGCAUCAAAUAAUAUCAACAAAAUUGAUGAAGUCACCGGAAGAGCUAACUAUUUUACCGGAGCUAAAGCUCGUUGUUUGUUGUUAAUGGCAUUUUCGGCCAGAUCUGAGUAAAUUAAAUGGGUAACACAUAUAAAUGAACUCAUUAGAGGAGAAAAUCUGAAGCGGUGGUGGCCAUUAUUCCAAAACAAAUAAUAAAAUAGAGAGGCAGGGGAGAGGAUGAUUGGCGGCGGCGCUGCUCAACGGCUUGGCCAGACCAACACAUGAGACAAUAAAGAUUUCUGCCAGAUCUGAUCGAUUUCAGGGGCCUCAUGGUAUAGUAGUUGAGAGAGAAACAAGAGCAGAUCGUGGAGGUGGUAAUGUCCUCCGGCGAGACUUCAUCCAAGUAGAAGCAGUGACGGUGGAGCUGUGGUGGAGAAGAAUUCUCCGACUCUUUCAAUAAAAAGAAUGAGAGGAAAAGAAGAGAAAAUAUGAUUGUUUUAGUUUUUUGGUAUAGAUAUACGGUGGUGUGUAUAUUUUGUUUGAUAAAAAUAUAUCCCUUCCCUUCUUUUAUAAUAUAACAUAACACAUCUUUUUACCCAAAAAGUAAAUAAUUAAACUCUCUUGUUUCUUUAAUCGAUAAAUUAAUUCACGGGGUAUUGCCUAAUGGUUUUUUAUUCCUUUAACUAAUGUGUAAAGACUUUUAAUCCAAUGAAUA